CACUUCUGCAUUAACAGAAUUCUGUUAUAAUUGUGUGACUCGGAUUACAUUUGUUUCAUGCAAUCAUGCUAGCAGAGUAUACGUGGAAGGAGAUGAAUUUGCACUGUACUGAAAAUGAGAUGUGGUCGAACCUCUUUCUUAAUGUUCGUUGGCCUCUGUCUCAAGGUUCAGUGCCACACAC
ensembl:snoRNA small nucleolar RNA SNORA81